rnacentral:misc_RNA from 1 species
GAUGAAGAACGUAGCGAAAUGCGAUAAGUAAUGUGAAUUGCAGAAUUCAGUGAAUCAUCGAAUCUUUGAACGCACAUUGCGCGCUCUGGUAUUCCGGGGGGCAUGCCUGUUCGAGCGUCAUUAUAACCACUCAAGCUCUCGCUUGGUAUUGGGGUUCGCGGUUCCGCGGCCCCUAAAAUCAGUGGCGGUGCCUGUCGGCUCUACGCGUAGUAAUACUCCUCGCGAUUGAGUCCGGUAGGUCUACUUGCCAGCAACCCCCAAUUUUUACAGGUUGACCUCGGAUCAGGUAGGGAUACCCGCUGAACUUAAGCAUAUCAAUAAGCGGAGGA